UGAAAUCUCGGGGCUCAACCUCGAAACUGCGUCUGAAACUGCUAGUCUAGAAUGUCGGAGGGGGCAGGGGAAUUUCACGUGUAGGGGUAAAAUCCGUAGAGAUGUGAAGGAACACCGGAGGCGAAGGCGCCUGCCUGGACGACUAUUGACGCUGAGGCGCGAAAGCGUGGGGAGCAAACAGGAUUAGAUACCCUGGUAGUCCACGCCGUAAACGAUGAGCACUAGUUAUUGGAGGUAUUGACUCCUUCAGUGACGCAGCUAACGCAUUAAG
rnacentral:rRNA from 1 species